rnacentral:rRNA from 1 species
UGACGUUGUAAAACGACGGCCAGUGAAUUGUAAUACGACUCACUAUAGGGCGAAUUGGGCCCUCUAGAUGCAUGCUCGAGCGGCCGCCAGUGUGAUGGAUAUCUGCAGAAUUCGGCUUCCUACGGGAGGCAGCAGUGAGGAAUAUUGCGCAAUGGGGGAAACCCUGACGCAGCGACGCCGCGUGUGUGAAGAAGGCCUGCGGGUUGUAAAGCACUUUCAGAGGGGAGGAUAAUGACGUUACCCUCAGAAGAAGCACCGGCUAACUCUGUGCCAGCAGCCGCGGUAAUAAGCCGAAUUCCAGCACACUGGCGGCCGUUACUAGUGGAUCCGAGCUCGGUACCAAGCUUGGCGUAAUCAUGGUCAUAGCUGUUUCCUGUG